rnacentral:rRNA from 1 species
GCAUAGAGGGGAUGCCUAGGCAUUAAUUAAUAUUUUUAGGACGUAAUAAAAACGAAAAGCUAUAUGUAAUAUUUAUAUAUUUUAAUAUAUAGAUUUCCUAAAGAAAACUUUUUCUUUGUGAAAAUUUUAAACAUAGUGAAUUGAAAUAUCUUAGUAACUAUUAAAAAAAUCAAACGAGAUUCCGUGAGUAAUGACGAGUGAAAAUGGAAAAUAGAUUAUAAGAAAGUAUAUAAAAAUAUUUAUAAAUAUCUGAAAAAUGUUAAAACAUUUACGUAAAAAGGUUAUAGUCCUGUAAGUAUUUAUUUAUAUAUUUUAUUUUUAUAAGUAAAAAGAGGUAUGUGUAAUCUUUUUUGAAUAUUGGGGGACCACCCUCAAAAUCUAUAAAAUAAUUAAUGACCGAUAGUGAACAAGUACUGUAAAGG